rnacentral:rRNA from 1 species
GAGUUUGAUCCUGGCUCAGGACGAACGCUGGCGGCGUGCCUAACACAUGCAAGUCGAACGCGUCUGUGCUUCGGCACAGAUGAGUGGCGAACGGGUGAGUAACGCGUGAGUAACUCCCCUUGGGGAGGGGGAUAACCAUCUGAAAAGGUGGCUAAUACCCCAUAUUCUCUUUUCUCAUAAGAGGAAGGAGGAAAGGUGGCGCAAGCUGCCACCCCGAGAGAGGCUCGCGUCCCAUCAGCUAGUUGGUAGGGUAAUGGCCUACCAAGGCUAUGACGGGUGGCUGGUCUGAGAGGAUGGUCAGCCACACUGGGACUGAGACACGGCCCAGACUCCUACGGGAGGCAGCAGUGAGGAAUCUUGGGCAAUGGGCGAAAGCCUGACCCAGCGACGCCGCGUGGAGGAAGAAGGCCUUCGGGUCGUAAACUCCUGUUUGGGGAGAAGAACAAGAGAGAAGUUAAUAGCUUCUCUCUCUGACGGUAUCCCCGGAGAAAGCUCCGGCUAAUUACGUGCCAGCAGCCGCGGUAAUACGUAAGGAGCGAGCGUUGUCCGGAUUUACUGGGCGUAAAGGGCUCGUAGGUGGUUUCUUAGGUCUCACGUGAAAUUCCCUGGCUCAACCAGGGAGGGUCGUGGGAAACCGAGAGGCUAGAGGGCAGGAGAGGAGAGUGGAAUUCCCGGUGUAGCGGUGAAAUGCGUAGAGAUCGGGAGGAACACCAGUGGUGAAGACGGCUCUCUGGACUGUCCCUGACACUGAGGAGCGAAAGCCAGGGGAGCAAACCGGAUUAGAUACCCGGGUAGUCCUGGCCGUAAACGAUGGGUACUAGGUGUGGGGGGUUCCAACCCCCUCCGUGCCCCAGUUAACGCAUUAAGUACCCCC